rnacentral:rRNA from 1 species
GACGAACGCUGGCGGCGUGCUUAACACAUGCAAGUCGAACGGAAAGGGCCUGCAGUUGUGGGGUACUCGAGUGGCGAACGGAUGAGUAAGAAGUGCGUAACCUGCCUUUGACUUUGGGAUAACUACAGGAAACUGGGGAUAAUAAAUAACAGAAGCUCCUGAAGCAUGGCGGGGGGUGGAAAGUUACGGCGGCUGGGGCUGGAAACGCGGCUUAUCAGCUUGGUGGUGGGGCAGAGGCUCACCAAGGCUUUGACGGGGAGCCGGCCUGGGAGGGUGACCGGCCACAGUGGGACUGAGAUGCGGCCCAGAGUGCUACGGGCGGCAGCAGUGGGGGUCUGUGCGCGAUGGGCGGCGGCCGGAAGCAGCAACUCCGCGUUCUGGAUGACGGCCUUCGGGUUGUAAACCGCUUUCUGCGGAUACUAAGCGGGAUUGACGGUAAUGGAAAAGAAAGCACCGGCUAACUACGUG